CCCCUUUAACCGUAUUGAGAAUUUCUAUAACCAUAUAGAACUUUUUAUGCUAAAACUAAUAACAAGAGGAAAACCCUCUCCUUAAUGCAAGUGUAAGCCAGCAAGAACCCACCACUGGCAACUAACAGACCCCCACAAAGCAGCAACCCUCACCCUAGAGAACCCUACUUCCUACUACUGUUAACCUAACACAAGAGCAUUUCAAGAAAGAUUAAAAGAAAAAGAAGGAACUCGGCAAACAUUAGCCCCGCCUGUUUACCAAAAACACCGCCUCUUGACCCUAUAAGAGGUCCAGCCUGCCCAGUGACCCUGUUCAACGGCCGCGGUAUUCUAACCGUGCAAAGGUAGCGUAAUCACUUGUUUUCUAAAUAAAGACUAGUAUGAAAGGCACCACGAGGACUAAGCUGUCUCCUUUUUCCAAUCAGUGAACCUAAUCUCCCCGUGAAGAAGCGGGAAUUAAA
rnacentral:rRNA from 1 species